rnacentral:misc_RNA from 1 species
GAUGAAGAACGUAGCGAAAUGCGAUAAGUAAUGUGAAUUGCAGAAUCCAGUGAAUCAUCGAAUCUUUGAACGCACAUUGCGCCCGCCAGCAUUCUGGCGGGCAUGCCUGUUCGAGCGUCAUUUCAACCCUCGACCUCCCUAUGGGGAAGUCGGCGUUGGGGACCGGCAGCACACCGCCGGCCCUGAAAUGGAGUGGCGGCCCGUCCGCGGCGACCUCUGCGUAGUAAACCAACUCGCACCGGAACCCCGACGUGGCCACGCCGUAAAACACCCAACUUCUGAACGUUGACCUCGAAUCAGGUAGGACUACCCGCUGAACUUAAGCAUAUCAAUAAGCGGAGGA